AUGAUUUCACAGUAUGCGUGUUAUACUUUGUGUAAAAUCUGUUACCAUUUUACAUCUCACAACAUUCCAAGAGAAGGUGACAUGCAAUUUUCUAUUAAAACAUCAUACCGAAUAUGGCAUUUAACCACAUGACAGUUAGGUGUAUGUCGCAAUUGAAAUAUUACAUUUACGUAUUACAGUACAUGUACCAAACUGAACGAUAUGUUUAGGGUCGCAAUCCAUGGUUAAAAUAUUUAUUGUUUCUGAUACAUUCUAGGUACUUUGUUAUAGUAAAUGGUACAUAGUCAAAGUACUAAACUUACAAUGAGAACAUGACAAAAUAUAAUGAGAAUUUCAAAACAGUAACUUAAUACAAUCCAUUUCUCUAUAUGGAUUGAUAUUAAAUAUUUUAAGAAUAAUCAAGAUAUUUCCAUGUUGUAAUAUAUUUUAGUAGCAUUUGUACAACAUGUCUCUAAUCUUGUCAACGUAUCCUAUUUGUAAUGUACUGUAAAAUUCUUUAGUAUUAAAAUAUAAUGCCUUGAU
rnacentral:sRNA from 1 species